rnacentral:rRNA from 1 species
CAAACUUGAGAGUUUNAUCCUGGCUCAGAACGAACGCUGGCGGCAGGCCUAACACAUGCAAGUCGAACGCUGUAGCAAUACAGAGUGGCAGACGGGUGAGUAACGCGUGGGAACGUGCCUUUCGGUUCGGAAUAACUCAGGGAAACUUGAGCUAAUACCGUAUACGCCUUCGGGGGAAAGAUUUAUUGCCGAAAGAUCGGCCCGCGUCCGAUUAGCUAGUUGGUGAGGUUAAGGCUCACUAAGGCGACGAUCGGNAGCUGGUCUGAGAGGAUGAUCAGCCACACUGGGACUGAGACACGGCCUAGACUUCUACGGGAGGCAGCAGUGGGUAAUAUUGGACAAUGGGCGCAAGCCUUAUCCAGCUAUGCUGUGUGAGUGAUGAAGGCUUUAGGGUUGUAAAGYUUUUUCGCUAGGGACGAUAAUUUGAUACUGGAGGUCUCGAGUCCGGGAGAGGUGAGUGGAACUGCGAGUGUAGAGGUGAAAUUCGUAGAUAUUCGCAAGAACACCAGUGGCGAAGGCGGNUCACUGGCCCNNNACUGACGCUGAGGUGCNNAAGCGUGGGGAGCAAACAGGAUUAGAUACCCUNGUAGUCCACGCCGUAAACGAUGGAUGCNRGCCGUUGGGGAGCUUGCUNNNCAGUGGCGCCGAACGCUUUAAGCAUCCUGCCNGGGGNGUACGGCCGCAAGACGCGCAGAACCUUACCAGCUUUUGACAUGCCCGGUAUGAUCGCCAGAGAUGGCUUUCUUCCGCAAGGGGCCGGUCACAGGUGCUGCAUGGCUGUCGUCAGCUCGUGUCGUGAGAUGUUGGGUUAAGUCCCGYAACGAGCGCAACCCUUGCCCUUAGUUGCCAUCAUUCAGUUGGGCACUCUAGNNGGACUGCCGGUGAUAAGCCGCGAGGAAGGUGGGGAUGACGUUAAGUCCUUAUGGCUCUUACAGGUUGGGCUACACACGUGCUACAAUGGCGGUGACAAUGGGACGCGAAAGGGUGACCUGGAGCUAAUCUCAAAAAACCGUCUCAGUUCGGAUUGCACUCUGCAACUCGAGUGCAUGAAGGUGGAAUCGCUAGUAA